rnacentral:rRNA from 1 species
GAAACCGAGUCUUAAUUGGGCGUUAAGUUGCAGGGUAUAGACCCGAAACCCGGUGAUCUAGCCAUGGGCAGGUUGAAGGUUGGGUAACACUAACUGGAGGACCGAACCGACUAAUGUUGAAAAAUUAGCGGAUGACCUGUGGCUGGGGGUGAAAGGCCAAUCAAACCGGGAGAUAGCUGGUUCUCCCCGAAAGCUAUUUAGGUAGCGCCUCGUGAAUUCAUCUCCGGGGGUAGAGCACUGUUUCGGCUAGGGGGCCAUCCCGGCUUACCAACCCGAUGCAAACUGCGAAUACCGGAGAAUGUUAUCACGGGAGACACACGGCGGGUGCUAACGUCCGUCGUGAAGAGGGAAACAACCCAGACCGCCAGCUAAGGUCCCAAAGUCAUGGUUAAGUGGGAAACGAUGUGGGAAGGCCCAGACAGCCAGGAUGUUGGCUUAGAAGCAGCCAUCAUUUAAAGAAAGCGUAAUAGCUCACUGGUCGAGUCGGCCUGCGCGGAAGAUGUAACGGGGCUAAACCAUGCACCGAAGCUGCGGCAGCGAACGUAUCACUUAAAGCGAUUCAGCGGGUUACGAUUGACGGAGCGAAGCGACGUCAAAGCGUAUACAAAGUCGAGUCGGUUUAAGGAUACGUUCGUUGGGUAGGGGAGCGUUCUGUAAGCCUGUGAAGGUGUGUCGUGAGGCAUGCUGGAGGUAUCAGAAGUGCGAAUGCUGACAUAAGUAACGAUAAAGCGGGUGAAAAGCCCGCUCGCCGGAAGACCAAGGGUUCCUGUCCAACGUUAAUCGGGGCAGGGUGAGUCGACCCCUAAGGCGAGGCCGAAAGGCGUAGUCGAUGGGAAACGGGUUAAUAUUCCCGUACUUGGUGUUACUGCGAAGGGGGGACGGAGAAGGCUAUGUUGGCCGGGCGACGGUUGUCCCGGUUUAAGCGUGUAGGUGUGUGUUCCAGGUAAAUCCGGUUCACUUUAACACUGAGGCGUGAUGACGAGGCACUACGGUGCUGAAGCAACAAAUGCCCUGCUUCCAGGAAAAGCCUCUAAGCAUCAGGUAACAUCAAAUCGUACCCCAAACCGACACAGGUGGUCAGGUAGAGAAUACCAAGGCGCUUGAGAGAACUCGGGUGAAGGAACUAGGCAAAAUGGUGCCGUAACUUCGGGAGAAGGCACGCUGACAUGUAGGUGAAGUGAUUUACUCAUGGAGCUGAAGUCAGUCGAAGAUACCAGCUGGCUGCAACUGUUUAUUAAAAACACAGCACUGUGCAAACACGAAAGUGGACGUAUACGGUGUGACGCCUGCCCGGUGCCGGAAGGUUAAUUGAUGGGGUCAGCGCAAGCGAAGCUCCUGAUCGAAGCCCCGGUAAACGGCGGCCGUAACUAUAACGGUCCUAAGGUAGCGAAAUUCCUUGUCGGGUAAGUUCCGACCUGCACGAAUGGCGUAAUGAUGGCCAGGCUGUCUCCACCCGAGACUCAGUGAAAUUGAACUCGCUGUGAAGAUGCAGUGUACCCGCGGCAAGACGGAAAGACCCCGUGAACCUUUACUAUAGCUUGACACUGAACAUUGAGCCUUGAUGUGUAGGAUAGGUGGGAGGCUUUGAAGCGUGGACGCCAGUCUGCGUGGAGCCGACCUUGAAAUACCACCCUUUAAUGUUUGAUGUUCUAACGUGGAUCCGUAAUCCGGGUUGCGGACAGUGUCUGGUGGGUAGUUUGACUGGGGCGGUCUCCUCCUAAAGAGUAACGGAGGAGCACGAAGGUUGGCUAAUCCUGGUCGGACAUCAGGAGGUUAGUGCAAUGGCAUAAGCCAGCUUGACUGCGAGCGUGACGGCGCGAGCAGGUGCGAAAGCAGGUCAUAGUGAUCCGGUGGUUCUGAAUGGAAGGGCCAUCGCUCAACGGAUAAAAGGUACUCCGGGGAUAACAGGCUGAUACCGCCCAAGAGUUCAUAUCGACGGCGGUGUUUGGCACCUCGAUGUCGGCUCAUCACAUCCUGGGGCUGAAGUAGGUCCCAAGGGUAUGGCUGUUCGCCAUUUAAAGUGGUACGCGAGCUGGGUUUAGAACGUCGUGAGACAGUUCGGUCCCUAUCUGCCGUGGGCGCUGGAGAACUGAGGGGGGCUGCUCCUAGUACGAGAGGACCGGAGUGGACGCAUCACUGGUGUUCGGGUUGUCAUGCCAAUGGCACUGCCCGGUAGCUAAAUGCGGAAGAGAUAAGUGCUGAAAGCAUCUAAGCACGAAACUUGCCCCGA